UGCCAGCCGCCGCGGUAAGACGGAGGGUGCAAACGUUGUUCGGAAUCACUGGGCAUAAAGAGCACGUAGGCGGCCUGCUCAGUCAGGUGUGAAAUCCCCCGGCUCAACCGGGGAAUUGCAUCUGAUACUGGCGGGCUCGAGGACGGUAGGGGUGAGUGGAACUCCAGGUGGAGCGGUGAAAUGCGUAGAUAUCUGGAGGAACACCGGUGGCGAAAGCGGCUCACUGGACCGUCUCUGACGCUGAGGUGCGAAAGCUAGGGUAGCGAACGGGAUUAGAUA
rnacentral:rRNA from 1 species